CACCGGCAUCUCAAGUGGUGGCCGUUUUUAUUGGGCCUAAAGCGUUCGUAGCCGGCCUGAUAAGUCUCUGGUGAAAUCCUGCAGCUUAACUGUGGGAAUUGCUGGAGAUACUAUUAGGCUUGAGGUCGGGAGAGGUUAGAGGUACUCCCAGGGUAGGGGUGAAAUCCUGUAAUCCUGGGAGGACCACCUGUGGCGAAGGCGUCUAACUGGAACGAACCUGACGGUGAGGAACGAAAGCCAGGGGCGCGAACCGG
rnacentral:rRNA from 1 species